rnacentral:rRNA from 1 species
UACGUAGGUGGCAAGCGUUGUCCGGAUUUACUGGGCGUAAAGAGCGCGCAGGCGGUCGUUCAAGUCGCGUGUGAAAGCCCCCGGCUCAACUGGGGAGGGUCACGCGAUACUGAUCGACUCGAAGGCAGGAGAGGGUAGUGGAAUUCCCGGUGUAGUGGUGAAAUGCGUAGAUAUCGGGAGGAACACCAGUGGCGAAGGCGACUACCUGGCCUGUUCUUGACGCUGAGCCGCGAAAGCCAGGGGAGCGAACGGG